GCUUAACACAUGCAAGUCGAACGGAGAUAAUUUGAGUUUACUUGGAUUAUCUUAGUGGCGGACGGGUGAGUAACACGUGAGCAACCUGCCUUUGAGAGAGGGAUAGCUUCUGGAAACGGAUGGUAAUACCUCAUGACAUAAUUGAAGGGCAUCCUUUGAUUAUCAAAGAUUUAUCACUCAAAGAUGGGCUCGCGUCUGAUUAGAUAGUUGGUGAGGUAACGGCUCACCAAGUCGACGAUCAGCAGCCGGACUGAGAGGUUGAACGGCCACAUUGGGACUGAGACACGGCCCAGACUCCUACGGGAGGCAGCAGUGGGGAAUAUUGCACAAUGGGGGAAACCCUGAUGCAGCGAUGCCGCGUGGAGGAAGAAGGUUUUCGGAUUGUAAACUCCUGUCUUAAAGGACGAUAAUGACGGUACUUUAGGAGGAAGCUCCGGCUAACUACGUGCCAGCAGCCGCGGUAAUACGUAGGGAGCGAGCGUUGUCCGGAAUUACUGGGUGUAAAGGGAGCGUAGGCGGGAUUGCAAGUCAGAUGUGAAAUACAUGGGCUCAACCCAUGGGCUGCAUUUGAAACUGUAGUUCUUGAGUGAAGUAGAGGUAAGCGGAAUUCCUGGCGUAGCGGUGAAAUGCGUAGAUAUGACGAAGAACUCCGAUUGGGAAGCCAGCUUACUGUAGCGCCACUGACGCUGAUGCUCGAAAGUGCGGGUAUCGAACAGGAUUAGAUACCCUGGUAGUCCGCACGGUAAACGAUGGAUGCUCGCUGUGUGCAUUCGUGUAUGCGGCCAAGGGAAACCAUUAAGCAUCCCACCUGGGGAGUACGCCGGCAACGGUGAAACUCAAAGGAAUUGACGGGGGCCCGCACAAGCGGAGGAACAUGUGGUUUAAUUCGAUGAUACGCGAGGAACCUUACCCGGGCUUGAAUUGCAGAGGAAGGAUUUGGAGACAAUGACGCCUUUCGGGGCCUCUGUGAAGGUGCUGCAUGGUUGUCGUCAGCUCGUGCCGUGAGGUGUCGGCUUAAGUGCCAUAACGAGCGCAACCCCUCUCCUUAGUUGCCAUCAGGUUAAGCUGGGCACUCUGGGGACACUGCCACCGUAAGGUGUGAGGAAGGUGGGGAUGACGUCAAAUCAGCACGGCCCUUACGUCCGGGGCUACACACGUGUUACAAUGGCAGGUACAGAGAGAGGGUCGUACGCAAGUACGAUCAAAUCCUUAAAGCCUGUCUCAGUUCGGACUGGGGUCUGCAACCCGACCCCACGAAGCUGGAUUCGCUAGUAACCGCGCAUCAGCCAUGGCGCGGUGAAUACGUUCCCGGGC
rnacentral:rRNA from 1 species